rnacentral:lncRNA from 1 species
UCUAUGCUAGCAAUUGUGCCGUGGGACCCCCUGCCUACCACUGCUCCUACAGCUCUAGUGUCCCCUGCUGUCUGAUGACUCUCUGUGCCUUGUCUUCACUCUGAUUUUUCUGUUCUGUCCUCUCCCCAGGGCCUUUGCACAUGCUGGCCACUCCUAUUCACUCUUCAGGAACAACACACUUGGACCAUGUGUUUCUUUGGCAUUCGUGAAGAAAAACUCUUACAAGAUGACAGCAAGGGUCUGAGCUCCAGCAUGGAAGGCCUGCCUCUCUCACAGCUGUACCACAUGUCCAGAACGUGACUGGUACCCAAGACAUGGGGAAGUCCUUGGCCCUGGCACCCAAGAAUAUGACCUUAUUUGGAAACAGGGUCUCUGCAGAUGGAAUUGAGGAAAGAUGAAGUCAUUGUGGAGCCUAAUCAAAUGGGAGGAAUGGUAACAAAGAGGUCUGCUGUCCAGAGCUCGAGGUGAGAAGAAGGCCCUGUCUCCUGCACCUGAGUUUCAAGGAUAGAACUGAGUGAAGCUGGCUCACUCCUUCCCUUCCCCACUCCCCAGCCCCUUUCUCUGCUUCCCGGCACAGCCUGUACUCUUCAUUUAACCCCUUGACCUAGACCCUGUUCUUUUAGCUGGACCAGUUCCAUCAUUCUCACAGGGAUUCCUGCCGCAUCGAACCAGGACCAUUCCCCGUCUGCCAUGACCUUGUCUUUCCUUACUGUGUCUGCAAUGACCCUGUUUUCAGAGGUCAUACGGAGGUCCUAGGGAUUUGGAUUCCAACAUGUUUUCCCUUGGGAGAGCACUGUUCCCUUGGGAGAGCACUGUUCCCUUGGGAGAGCACUGUUCCCUUGGGAGAGCACUGUUCCCCAGCUGGGGGCGCUGCUUAAGAAGAAUGUGGAGCUUUUAAAAGUAGAACUUUGAAGGCUAAACUCAUCUCAGGGUUUGGCCUAGCCAGGUUCUCUGAUUCUUGUAAGGAACCUGUCACACACUUCUGCCACCAUGAAUUUAGCUAUGCCUUCAUUACUAUGAGAACUAAAUAAAACCCAGAGAA